GUGAAGGUUUGAAGAAGACUCGCCUGGAAAAUUUGUUUAUAGAAACAUCUCUUUGAGGAUUAUUUCCGAGGGUCUUCUCUUAGUGAAAACAGUGGCUAGUUUUGCUUGCAUUUGAUGUAAAUUGGCUUUUCACUCUCUUUAGAGGAUAAUAGAACUCCGCGACCUGUUGUCGUUUCAUAACUUUCUUCAGUUGGUAUUCACUAUACUAUCGGUUGAUACUUUACUGGAAAAAAUUGAAGACAUUGCCCAAAAGACUGUGAAAUAAAAUUCCGAUUGGGAUUUUUGGAAAACCCUUGCGAAACUUGAAGGAUUUUAUGGGGUAGUGCGGAAGCUGCAUUUUUUUACAUUUGGGAACAUCCAUUAGCCGAAUCUAAAUGAGAGCUGUUCACUCAAAAGUGGGAAAAUUAUAGGAGAAGGACUUUGUUUUUUUUUUCUACCCUGAAAUUAGCGGAGUCAGGGGCUUCAACCUUGAGUUUGACACUUCAGGAGAUGUCAAGCCACGCAAGUAGACAGUGAAUGAUUCGUCGUUUUUUUAAUAGUUCUUUUCUCGCCACUUGCCAUCAUACAAUUAUAUAAUAGAAAAUACAUUGUAAAAAAACGGUAGAAAUUAGUGUCAUACUGA